CCUACGGGAGGCAGCAGUGGGGAAUAUUGCACAAUGGGGGAAACCCUGAUGCAGCGACGCCGCGUGAGUGAAGAAGUAUCUCGGUACGUAAAGCUCUAUCAGCAGGAAAGAAAAUGACGGUACCUGACUAAGAAGCCCCGGCUAACUACGUGCCAGCUGCGGCGGUAAUACGUAGGGGGCAGGCGUUAUCCGGAUUUACUGGGUGUAAAGGGAGCGUAGACGGCGCUGCAAGUCCGGAGUGAAAGCCCAUGGCUUAACCAUGGUACUGCUCUUGAAACUGUAGAGCUUGAGUGCGGGAGGGGCAGGCGGAAUUCGUGGUGUAGCGGUGAAAUGCGUAGAUAUUAGGAGGAACACCGGCGGCGAAGGCGGCCUGCUGGACCGUAACUGACGUUGAGGCUCGAAAGCGUGGGGAGCAAACAGGAUUAGAUACCCUAGUAGUC
rnacentral:rRNA from 1 species